rnacentral:rRNA from 1 species
UACAGAGGUCCCGAGCGUUGUUCGGAUUCACUGGGCGUAAAGGGUGCGUAGGUGGCUUGAAAAGUUUGAUGUGAAAGCUCAGGGCUUAACCCUGAAAUGGCAUUGAAUACUGUCGGGCUGGAGGUUUGGAGGGGGGACUGGAAUUCUUGGUGUAGCAGUGAAAUGCGUAGAUAUCAAGAGGAACACCGAUGGCGAAGGCAGGUCUCUGGGCUGACACUGACGCUCAUGCACGAAAGCGUGGGGAGCAAACAGG